rnacentral:piRNA from 1 species
UGCCACAGAAACUCUGAGCCCAUUGGC